AAUCCGUGGUGUGGUCAUUUCUAGAUCAAUGGUUUAAAGUGUUCCUAAGCCUCAUGAAAACUUUCCCCUUCCAAUUGUCUAAAAACAACGAUUUCUCUUCUUAGUUG
rfam:Gossypium hirsutum cultivar TM-1 chromosome 17, whole genome shotgun sequence